GGGCGGAUGUAGCCAAGUGGAUCAAGGCAGU
rnacentral:tRNA from 6 species